rnacentral:misc_RNA from 1 species
AUGAUUCGAUGUUUCAUUGCCUUUAUAAUGAGCAAGGUGCGAGAUACUUGCUUAGCGAGUUCCGUCUGGCCACGCUCCAUGCGAGAGGAGAAGGUCGGACCGCUAAAACGAAACGGCCAUGCAGGUUUCUGUCGCACACGUUGAGCAGUUGUGACUGUCCGUGACUGCUAUGAUACAGUGCGAGUGCGCUUCGAGCGAAGAAUUAAAGAGCACACGCUAGGUGCCGCCUGCCGAUUACCCUAUUUUUCAUCAUUUUCAUUUAAAGAGUA